UACAGAGGGUGCGAGCGUUAAUCGGAAUUACUGGGCGUAAAGCGCAUGUAGGUGGGUUUGUAAGUUUGAUGUGAAAGCCCUGGGCUUAACCUGGGAAUGGCGUUGAAUACUAUAAAUCUAGAGUCGGACAGAGGGCAGUGGAAUUUCCGGUGUAGCGGUGAAAUGCGUAGAGAUCGGAAAGAACACCAGUGGCGAAGGCGGCUGCCUGGGUCCAGACUGACACUGAGGUGCGAAAGCGUGGGGAGCAAACAGG
rnacentral:rRNA from 1 species